rnacentral:lncRNA from 1 species
GAGCAAGUAGAUAGUCUUCUAGCAUCAGGAGGUGUGACCUGAAAUGUAAAUCCAUACAUGGACUGAUAGAGUUCAAAAUUACUUACAUUCAGUUACUUUUCUUCCUUUUUGUUCAUUGUCCACAGUUUUAAAAUGGUUUAAGAUUGUUUUGAUUGUGUUGUACUUUUUAAAAGUUUUGCCAGAGAACCAAGGGUGGUUUUUUGUGUUUUUUUACAUGGAUAGUGUCUGUGACCAGUGGGUGGUUUAAAUUCCCAAAGCCCUAAAGGGCCACCAGCUAUAUGAAACAGGGAAGAACUGGUGCUCUGAGUGAUGGCGUGUUUGAAUAAUAAGGCGGUGUUGAGGAGCUUGUUGGGAGAUUGGUCUGGGACUGCUGUUUGGGGAGUGCUUACUUUUUUGUUUUUUUAAAGGAAGAGGUGUUUAGGCAGACAGUAUUAGGUGGGUGCAAAAGUGAUUACGGUUUAAUA